AGUGUUUAAGGGCAAACCACUCGAAAGGGUGGGACGCAAAGCCAUGGGUCUGUAGCCACUAUGCUGGUAUGACUGCCAGGCUGCCACU
rnacentral:ncRNA from 1 species